AUAAAAAGGCGUUUACCUAGUGUUCCUUGUCGGCCUGCUCCAGGGGCCGGGAACCCUACACCGCUGCGUGUUGCUGGAGAUUAGGCCCCUGUGAUUUAAUGAGUGCACCCCCUGCCUGUUCCUAGUCUGGGGGGCUGGCCCGAGCUGCCUGCCAGUCUGGCAAAUGAUACUCAUAGAAUUACGAGAUUUGGAAAGGACAGAACGGGCUGAGGCGUAUUUAUUUUUUUCAGUAUGCAAAACCGCUGCUUUGUAUUGUACAACAUAUUAUAAGCUUACAGUGUUAAAAAAAGAGACUUAUCAAAAUCAGAUUGUGAAUGUUUCUUACUUCCGGAGAAUAGACGUCGUGAUAGUAAGAGUGCCCUUAAAUUCUCAGUUACCAGUGUAGGGGGAUAUCUAUCCGUUGUGUAAAGCCCACUUUUAGUGAGUCAUUUUGUAACAGACGUAACAUCAUUUAUAGACGCCUUCUGUUCAUAUUCUUGUUUCUGUGGGUGUUUCUGUGAUAUGACUGCGUUCCCGGGACAGACACCGGAGCCCGCCGGUGGCUGAGGAUCGUGGUGGUGGUGGUGGUGGUGUUGGACCGUGCCGCUGUCAGUGGUCUCCUCUCGCUCUGCCUCAGCAGAUCCAGUGCCUGCUUUGUCCGCCCAACCGUGCUGUAGCUGCUGCUGCUGCUCUUGCUGUCGAGCCCAGCUGCGUCUGUGAUCGCGUUGCUGCUGUCUUCUCUUGUGGUCGACAUUAAAGGGUUUGUUGGGGUUUUUUUCCUCUGAAAAAGUCAUCAACAUACUUAACCGCUUUCAGGAAAAUAACCGCACUACCCGAUUUAAUAACUGUACUCUGUGAGACUGGAGGUUUGUUUUAGAGACAUCAAACCAAAAGGAAAACAAAACAAAAGAAAAACGGACGACCAGCACUUUGAGUAAACGUGAAGCCUUGGCUGGCUAAUGUAGGCGCUGUGGUGUGUGAGUGUGUGUGUGUGUGUGACAUAAGCCGAGUUUUAGACUGUACUACGAGUUUUUCCAUAUCAUCGUCGGAUAUAUCGUAUUCCCGUGGAGUGUCUGGGACCCAAGUGAUACACACACGGACGGACACGGCCAUAACCAAGCGCCAUGCCUUACAAG